UCAGCAGUUGACAAUGACUAAACAUCAAGGUUACUCUUGCAUGUCCAUCUCAAAGUGAAGGAUGUUCCUCUGCCAGGAAGGGCCCAGGCCGCUGACGUCAGCCAUCCCUAGGUCGGAGUUAAGGAGAGCCACUCGGUCGAUGAAUCAGGAUGUGCGACUCCACCGUGAGAGCUCGCUGAGCGGAGCGCCAUGGUGGCCUGUCUGUGAAAGACGUCUUCACUGAACCAGCAUCCUGCUGAUCAUCAUCAUAAUCCCAAAAGAUGCCUUUCAUUGAAAGACAGCUUUGAGCCCAGCAUUUAUAUCCCGCCGAGCCCUCAGAAUGUUCCAGAGCGUGUUCACGUGCUUCUGCAUCACGUUAGCGAGAACUCCAGGCUGGGAAGGCCUGCUCCACCAUGAACAGCAUUUUUUUUUCUUUCCUGUGAUGCUAGCAACGUAACUUUUUUAAGAAGUAGUUUUCUCUCCCAGCUGAAGGGGCCUGGCUGCUUGCUGCUCUCCCUGCACUGCUCACCUGGACUGUGUGUGCGGGGACCUCUGUGUAAAAUGUCAAUGUGUUGUUUUGAUGUACGACUCUUCUCUCAAAAAUGUGUGCGGCUGUGCCUUCAGCUUCUGACAGGUGGACCAGUCCCAGAGCUUUCUGAGAAUCUGCUUCUGGGGUUAGAAUCCUGUUUGCCUUGAAUAAAAUUCCCCUUUUUCUUCUUGAGAGUUUGUUGAAUUUUCGUCAACAGAUAACUUCCCUGCCUCCAUUUCCCAUCUGCACAGAUAAAGUUUACAAAGAAACCCAAAUCAAGAAAAAAUGAAAAAUGUCUGCUCAGCAAAGGUGCCUUUGAGGACAAGUCAAGCUGUGGACGGAGGCAUGUCACGGUACACGUGGCUGCAAAGGCUUCAUUCAGAAAAUGUAGAGAACUACAGAUCAGCAGCACAACACGGGCAGUGUAAUGAAGAUGUGGGCAAAAGGUGGGAGUGGAAAGUUUGUACACGGAGACCUGCAGAUGGCCAGCGAGCGCCUGGCAAGAUACUCGGCCAUCAGGGAGAUGACACGGCGGUGUCAUUUCUCACGGACUUGAUGGCCAGUGUCUAGAGUCAAACUACAGACAGCAGAUGCCCUCUAGGGUGUGGAGCCUCCUCUGGAACCUCCUCUAGGGUGGGGCAGUAGGGGCUGACCACCACGGGAAACAGGUGGGCAGUGUCUUAAAAAGUUCAGCCUACGUCUUUCUUAUAGACCAUUCUCUUGCAAAUUCCGCUUUUAGGUAUUUGCCUAAGGAAAGGGAAUGCGUGUGCACCAAAACAGAAAAACCCAAAACCCCCAAACAAAAACACUUGUACAAGAACAUUCAACAGCCGCCUCUAUAACAGCCUCAAACUGGCCUCUGACCCAGGUGCCCCCAGUGGAGAGGGAACAAGCUGUGUUGUGCCGGCAGGAUGACACGAGGUACAGGCGCACACGGCAGCGUGGGUGCAUCUUGAAACCGUGGUGCUGAAAGAGAGCACCCAGACACGAGAGCGCAUGAUUGUGGUUGCAUUUAUGUGAAGUCCGAGUGCAGACGAAGCUCAGCCGGGGGAUGCAAGUCAGAAAGUGGAGGUGCGUAGCAGGUGGAAUUGACUGGAAGUGAGGAAGGAACGUCUGGGGUGAUGGAUUUUCCUGUCUCGUCUAUGGUUGAUCGCCACAUGGUUGCCCUUACCUGUCAGCACUCUUCAGAGUGAGCACUUAGGAUCUGUGCGCCUGGUUAUAUGUAAAUUGUACCUCAAUACAGUUUUUAAAAAGAAAAGUUAGUUCUGCUCGGGCUGCCGUAGCAGACAACCACACGCUGGAGGACUUAAACAACAGAGGUUCAUGUUCUCACACUUGUGGAGGCUGGGAGUCCAGGACCAGGUGCUGGCAGGGCUGGUUUCUGCUGAGACUGCUCCCCUUGGCUCGCAGACUGUCUUCUCUCCGUGUCCUCACGGGACCUCUUCCCUGUGCAUGUUGCCCUGGUGUCUCCUCCUCUUAAAGGGACACCAUCCUAUUGCGUUAGGGCCCCACCCUAAUGACUUCAUUUAGCCUUAAUUUCUUCCUUAAAGUCCCCGUCUCCACAUACAGUCACCAUGGGGGUUAGGACUUCAGUAUAUGAAUUGGGGGUAAUGGUGCAAAGUUCAGUCCAAAAGAGUUUUUAAAAAGAAGAAUAUAGUAACACCUGCCGUGCGGAGUGGCUGGAAGAAGUAAGUGGUAAAAUGAGGUGCAGGUCUGAGCUGGAGCCCCACCCAUGCGGGGGCUGGCCACUGUCCUCCCAGCUAGCUUUUCACUGCCGGGUUUUUUGUUUUUUUACUUGGAGCGUAUGGCCAUGUGGCUUUGACUACACUUUUGGGGACUGUUAACCAGUAACGUGUGUGGGCCCUAGCUUGUACUGAGAUGAAGUGCCUGCGGCAGGGAGGAGAGCUUCACCGAUGAGUUAGCCUCUGCGUGCACUUUGGUUCCAAAGGCUAGUUGCUAAUAAAGGGCAUUGUCCCCAGUCAUAGACGAGAGGAAGGAUGGUAGCCCAGGCGUGCUUGGUCUGGGAACUUCUGGCUCUCACGCCUGGAAACAAAAGGCAAAAGCGUUGUUAAAACCUGAGAUUGUGAUCUAUGGAAAAAUUUGGAUAUUUAAGAAAAAAUAAAGCAGAGUUACAAUUUUGUCCUGCUCCAGAUGUCCAUAUUCAACAACCUAAUUGAGGGAAAAGCUUCUCUUGCUCUGUUCACAAGGCAGAAAAACAGGAUUUCAAGAGGCUGUUUCUUUUUAACCGACUUUAUCAGGGUGUAGUUUACAUGCAGUGCUCAUUUCAAGUGUGCAGGCGAUGUGUUGAAGAUACAGGCAUCCAUGUGACUUCUGUCGCAUACAAGGCAUUGGACAUUUCCCUUCCCCUCAGACCCAAAACACGCCCUCCUGUUCCUUUGCAGCCAGGCCCCCCCGCCUGCAGCCUCUGGCCUCUGUGGAACGGAGCCUAGUUCUGCUGUUCUGGCAUCUCAUACAAGUGAGAUCGUAGCCUUGGCAUCUGGCGUAUUUUGCUGAGAGAGUGUUUUUAAUAUUCAACCAUGAUGCAGUCAUUAAUCAGUACAGCAAUUCGUUUUUUUUUUACUAAUCAAUGGUUCAGUGAUCAAUAGCUCGUUCUUUUCUGUUGCUGAGCACUAUGUCAUUUUAUGGAUAUAUCAGUUUUUAUUUUAAUUUCUAAUUAAAAAAGUGUUUGUUGGGUUAUUAGCUCUGUUUGUUUGUUUUAAUAGAGGUACUGGGAUGGAACCCAGGACCUUGUGCAUGCUAAGCAUGUGCUCUACCACUGAGCUCUACCCUCACCCCUCAAGUUUUUAGCCACUCAUCUGCCAAGGACAUUUGAAUGGCUUUCAGGUUUUGGAUACUACGUAUAAAGCUGGUAUGGACAUCAUGUACAAGUCUUUUUGCAAACAUGUUUUCAUCUCUCUUGGUUAAAUACUUUAGAAUUUCUGGGUCAUAUUGGAAGUGUAUGUCUGACUUUCCAAAAACCUGGUAAGCACUUUUCCAGGGUGAUUGCGUAAGUGCACAGCUCCAGUGGUAAAGGCCAAGUUCCAGCAGCUCCACACAUUCUCCAGCGUUCAUGUUGUCAGAGAGGGUGUGUGAUAGCAGGUGUCACAUUGCAGCGUUAAUGUGUUUCCCUGACGACUUGUGAUGUUGAGUGUCUUGCUUGUUCCUUGACCUUCUGUGCAUCUUCUUUGGUGCACUGUCUAUUACAGUGUUGGCCCAUGGUGGGGGGUGCGGUGGGGGAGUUGCUUGUCUUGAGUCCUGAGAGUUCUUCAUCUAGUUUCGUGCAAGCCCUUUGUCAGAUGUGCGUGGUGCAAAUCUCUUCUUCCAGUCUGGCUUGCCUUUCUAUUUUCUUAACAGUGUCUUUGGAGGAACAGAAGUUCUAAAAUUUGAUGGAGUCUAUUUUUUAUUCUUUCCCCUUUUUUGGUUGGUAUUUUGGGUUUUUAUAAUCUUUGCCUACUGCAAAGUUGUGAAGAUUUUCUUCUAUAAUUUUUCCUGGAAGUUUUAUAGUUUUACAUCAGUGAUCCAUUUCAGAUUAAUAUUUAUGCACAGUAAGGGCAAGGGUUGAGGAUCAUUUUAUAUUUCUACAUGGAUAUCCAGUUUGACCAGCACCAUUUAUUUGUUGAAAAGAAUCUCGUCUCCUUUCCCACUGAAAUUUCUUAGCACCUUUUAAAAAACUCAUCUCACCAAGUAUGGAUAGGUUUACCUCUGGGCUGUCUACUCUGCUUUAUUGAUCUAUAUGUAUAUUCUUAGGCAGAUAUUUCAAUGUCUUGACAUUACUGUAGCCCUAUUUUCUUUUCUCAAAAUUGUUUUGGCUCUUAGCAAACUGAAUCCAACAAUGUAUAAAAAGAAACACUACAACUAGGGGAGAUAUAUCUUAGGUAUGCAAAGCUGGUUAAACAUUAAAAAAUCAAUUUGUGUAAUUCAUUACUUACGUAGACUAAAAAUGAGAAACCACAUGAUUAUAUCAAUAGAUGCAGAAAAAGCAUUAGAAAAAAUCUAGCAUUCAUUCAUGGGGAAAAAAAUAACCAACCCAGGAGUAGAGGAACACUUCCUUAAUUUGAUAGAGAAUGUAUACAAAAACUUUGAGUUCACAUCAUAUUUAGUGGUGAGAAAGUGAAGCUUCCUCACUGAGAGAAGUUACAAGGCAAGGAUGUCCCACUUACAAAUCCUUUUCAACAUCAUACUAGAAGUCCUAGCUACUGCAGUAAGACCAAAAAAAAAAAGAAAAGAAAAGAUACAUAGAUUGGGAAGAAGAAAUAAAAAUGUCUUUGUUCACAGAUGACAAGAUUGUCCAUGUGGAAAACCCAAAAGAAUCAUCAAACAUUUUGGAACUAGUAAGUAAUUAUAGCAAGUUGCAGGAUAAAAGGUUAAUAUUCAAAAG